ACAUCUGUACAAUCCUGAUGUAUGCAUUGAAAGUGAAUGAUGCAAUCUGCUGCCAUCCAUGGACAGGGAGCUACCAGAACAACUCAAGGUCCUUGAUUCUCAACCAACUAUAUGUUGUGACAACUUGAACAUACCUGCAAUACGUCAGGCGAAGUUGACGCUUAGUUGUGUGUCCUAACUCUAUUUUUUUCUGAACUUCUCAUCAUGAGAAGUAGCUGUUCAUCCUCAAGAGCUCAAGAUCCUUGGCCCCCAACCAAACGGGAGGAAAGCACUUGGAUCGUUGGAUGCCUUGGAGAUUCCAUCAGCAAACCUCUCCGGCCUAAACUCAUGCACGUCGGUUCCCCAGAUGUCCGGGUCAUGGUGAAUGAGCAGCACCGGCAUCUCGAUGAGCACUCCAGCGGGGUAUGUGAUGCCCCCAAUUUCCAUCUCCUUGUAUGUUCUUCGGACCAAUGCGAUGGACGGCGGGUACAAUCGAAGGACCUCAUAAAGAAUCGUAGUAACCUGCACCAUAGAUUGAUAUAAUGCUUGCGGCUGCAUUACAGAAUUAUUUUAAUCUCGAUAUGCACUCACAGUUUUGAGCCUGCUAAAGCCAUUGUACUCAGGUUGGUUCUUCCCAAAUAGGCCAAGGACCUCCUCCCUUGCACGGUCCUGCCACUCAGGGUGCAUGCUCAGUAGGAUCAUUGUCCAUGCAAGGACCUGCAAAUUGCGUUGGGGACGAAUCAGUAAGGAAGAAUUAACUAUACUUAAUGAGUAUCCUGGAAUGAAGAUCAUCUUGACGCUGGCCAAGAUGCGGUCAGCCUGCUCAGACUGCAGCUCGAAAAUCCUUUUCCCUUCAAGGUAGCUGCUCCCAAAUGCGGUGCGCGAAAUGGCAUCUCCGGCGAGGCUAUGGAACUCUGGGCAGACAUCAAGCUCGCAGUGACCAUCGUCGGAACCAAGGGACCCUGUCCAUCUGGUGACAAGCUCUUCGCAGCAGGAAGAGAACGCCGGAAGCAUGAGCUGGAAAUUAAGCCACACACCGGGGAGCUUCUCGAGAUGGAAUGCUGGGUUGACUAUCCUCCGGUGCAUGACCCACUUCUCGCCUUCGUAAGUUGCUAGGCCUUCGGCGAGCAGCCUGGACAGCUUCCGAAACUGGAGCUUCUCAAAGUGGCCAGACUUGCUGGACAUCACUUGCCUGGUCAGCUCAGCAUCAGCGAUGGUCACCUUGGGUAUCGGGCCAAACCAGGAGAUGCACGUCUUGCCAUGCUCCUGGACAGUGUUGUGGAGGAAAGGUCGCCGAUGAGGAAGCGGUACGGUCUGCCACGAAGGCCCUGCGCACGCAGUGUCCUCUCAAGCCGCCGUGGCCGCCACCACAGCCGGUCAAGGAGCCAGGCGGCCAGCCACAGAAGCAACAGGCCAGCGAGACUGCAUAUCAGGAAGUUCCAUGGCGACGUGGCUGGGCUCGCGAGCGCUACAAAAGACAUGGCUGCUCCGGAUAAAUUGGGGAAGAAAGGUUGAAAGGGGAUGACACCUGCGAGUGCAAGUAGGUCUUGUACCGGAUGAAUACGGUAUUCGGCCGCGACGGCAUUUAUAGAUACUAGUGCCACUGGCAAAGGAUCACCAAAAUCUCUUUCUCUUGUGCUCUA